rnacentral:lncRNA from 1 species
GACUGAAGAAAACGGCAGACUGAAUGUGCCAGACGCGCUACAGCGCCUGUUGCCGGACGGCUAUCAGACAACGCGCGAGAGAAGGAUGUCGUGUUGAUUUGAGUUGUCAUCCUGGUGUAAGGCGUUGGGUUGUUAGGGUGGGCCCAAGGCCGUUGUAAAAACGCAUAUAAAGGUGUAAGCAUUACACAGACAAGGAAUAAACGAAGAUCAAUCACGCGCGAUUCACUAUAC